UGGGGAAUAUUGCACAAUGGGGGAAACCCUGAUGCAGCAACGCCGCGUGGAGGAUGACGCAUUUCGGUGUGUAAACUCCUUUUAUAUACCAAGAUAAUGACGGUAGUAUAUGAAUAAGCACCGGCUAACUCCGUGCCAGCAGCCGCGGUAAUACGGAGGGUGCAAGCGUUACUCGGAAUCACUGGGCGUAAAGGAUGCGUAGGCGGAUGAUCAAGUCAGGAGUGAAAUCCUACAGCUUAACUGUAGAACUGCUCUUGAAACUGUUCAUCUAGAAUAUGGAAGAGGCAGAUGGAAUUAGUGGUGUAGGGGUAAAAUCCGUAGAGAUCACUAGGAAUACCGAUUGCGAAGGCGAUCUGCUGGGACAUUAUUGACGCUGAGGCAUGAAAGCGUGGGGAGCAAACA
rnacentral:rRNA from 1 species